AGUGAACGCUGGCGGUAGGCCUAACACAUGCAGUUGGAACGCCAGCACAGUAGGAGCUUCCUCUUACGGGGGCGGGGUGGCGGCCGGUGAGGAAAACCAUCGAAAUUUCCUUUUUGGUGGGGGAUAACUAGGGGAAACUAACCUUAUACCCCCAUCCACCCUCCGGUGAAAGCCAGGGGACCUUCGAACUUUCGCGAUUGAAUGAACCGAUGUCGGAUUAGCUAGUUGGCGGGGUAAAGGCCCACCAAGGCGACGAUCCGUAGCUGGUCUGAGAGGAUGAUCAGCCACACUGGAACUGAGACACGGUCCAGACUCCUACGGGAGGCAGCAGUGGGGAAUAUUGGACAAUGGGCGCAAGCCUGAUCCAGCCAUACCGCGUGGGUGAAGAAGGCCUUCGGGUUGUAAAGCCCUUUUGUUGGGAAAGAAAAGCAGCAGGUUAAUACCCCGCUGUUCUGACGGUACCCAAAGAAUAAGCACCGGCUAACUUCGUG
rnacentral:rRNA from 1 species